GUGAUGUGUAACGUAAACAGUAAACUGAAAGUGAACUGUAAGAUGUCCACCUGGUUGCCAGACGAGAAAAAGCAGUUUGCUAUGAUGCAGUGAAUUAGAAGUUACCUGCGGUGCGCUGUGGGUUGUGCCGGCUGCGGGGCGAGGACCGGUCUGCGCAUGCGCUCCUGGCCGGCCUGGCAAGCGGCACCGCCUUCUGGCUCCACCCGGACCUCACCAUCGCCUUCGCCGCCGUAACGACGCUCGUACAGCUGCGGGUGGCGCACCUCUGCGACCGGCGCCUGCUCGAGCCCGUGUGGGCGCUGUGUCUGUCUGCGCUGCUACACGUGGCCGUCCUGGACCGGCUCCACUGUCCCCCGGGUUUCAUGGCCCUCACCGAGAUUCUCGCUCCAGGCGUAGUACUCGGAAUCCACAAACGGUUGUUCUACCUCGAGUAGUACGAGUAGAUCGGCUGCCGGACCAAUGAGCAGCGCAAGAAAUGGGACUUCUGCUUGCGGUGUACCAAGAUGCAGGAAACAGUCUUCGAACUCACGUGCUGAAGCUUCUGCUGUUAUCCUACGGAUUGGUGCGGAGAUCACUGCCAAGGAAUCUACUGUAUAAAAUACUUCAUAAAUGUGACCGAAAAGUGACCUUGUUAGCUAUUCAAUAGCGCACUCCUCGUUAUCAAUCUUACAUACUAUAAAAGCUUUAUGUGGGUUUUUAAACCCCUGCCUAUAAAAAAAAUUACACCAAAAAUUACGUCCUAAGAAGUAGAAGCUGACAGUUUCAUCCAGAACUUCAAACGUGUUUCUCCUCUUCUUUAUACACAAGUCUAAUUUGACUAAUAGUAAAUGCCAUGAGAGCAAUGAAUUCAGUGUUUGACGCGGAGUCGUACACUUACAAAACAAUUUACAGUGAUUUUAAAGAAUUCCAAUAUUUUGUUUUACAGCAAAGCACAUUACCUUGGUCAUAGCUUUGUAGUUUUAUGUUCUACUUGGACGUUUCUCAUAUGCCUUAAAUAUCAUGCACUUCUAAACCCUUUAUUACUGUUGCUGGACGAAAAGUAAUGACAUUUAACAGAUGUGGUAUGUUGCUCUCCUUGUUUCUUGUUCUGUUACUAAAGACCUCAGCGUAGACAGAACGUCAAACACGAAUCUCCUUUCCCUCCUACUGUCGAGGUUCAUGUACAAUUUAUCUGCGAUAGCACUUACUUUUAUCGGAUAAUAAAAACAUACAUCCAAACUAUCUUAGAGAUUUAUUUUCAUUUAUUAAUAACUUCAUAUUGU